rfam:Aeromonas diversa 2478-85 Contig 19, whole genome shotgun sequence.
GGGCAGGAUGUGUGAAGUUAGCUAACCGGCAAGCCGGUUAACUCUCUUCACUGUCCCUUAUUCGCACCUGCGGCGCUCAACGUACUUCCUGCCCUGCGGGGCU